UACAGAGGUCCCGAGCGUUGUUCGGAUUCACUGGGCGUAAAGGGUGCGUAGGUGGCGAGGUAAGUCGGAUGUGAAAUCUCGGAGCUCAACUCCGAAAUGGCAUUGGAAACUACCUUGCUCGAGGGUUGGAGGGGGGACUGGAAUACUUGGUGUAGCAGUGAAAUGCGUAGAUAUCAAGUGGAACACCAGUGGCGAAGGCGAGUCCCUGGACAACUCCUGACACUGAGGCACGAAAGCUAGGGGAGCAAACAGG
rnacentral:rRNA from 1 species